rnacentral:lncRNA from 13 species
AUGGCUUUGCCACAAGGGCCAUUUCAAGCAUCUGAGUCUUCCUUGAACAUACGACAGGACAGAAAGGCACAUGUGGGUGACAGUCAAACCUCUAUCAUCUAUGGAACCGCCCCACAAUGUUCAUCAACGUUUCAUCAACGUGGUCUUAAUGCACGGCGCAAACACCUCACAGACAAGUCUUCAGACACUCAAUCAAACUAUUACCCUGUACAGGUGAUGGGCCAUGAGCUCACAACCACAUGGUCCUAUUGCUGUAGUCAUAACCAGGUUAGGUAUGACUGCUCCAAAUGGGACGAUACCAUGAUGGUCAUAGCUGGAGUACAUACCACUAGUCUACACUAUCUUCACCAAGGGUCAAUACUAAAUGUGAGAAUAAUCAUAUGAUCUGUGAUACCUUCCCAAAGUGUGGACCUACUCCAGUUCCCAGACAGUGUCGCUCUGUAGCUCUGCAGUUAAAUAGCGGAGGGUUGUUGUCUUUACGUUGCGUAACAUCUUUUAACCUGACAGCCUCCUUUCUAUCAAUGAGUUCAUGAACACAAACAAGCUGCUUAAGCUAUUUGUCAUUUAAAAAGCCACACUAUUCAAAGCCAAUGUGUAAUGCUUACAGUAUGUUAUACAUGCGUAUAAAUGCUAUGACGAGGAAGUAGUACAUUGAAUGUAGCAACAUUGCAACCUGACAUACAGUCAUUAAAAUGUUGCAAUGAGAGUAUUCUCCUUUCCUUUCACACAAUAGCAUACGUUGGCUUGGUCCAAGAUAUGUUUGUGGAUGCAAGCUUGGAAAAUAAAUGCAAGGGAAAUCUACUGUGCAUGUUGUAUAUUGUUCAAUAUACACCAGCCCUGUUCAACAGAUCCGGAUGUGUUCUGGCUGGGAACAUUCUCAAAAGACUUCACUUUACAACCAGACAACACUGAUAGUUAUGAUUUACUGUACGCAGUAUGGCGCUUGAGAAAUCCAUUCAAAGUGAAUUUCACCUUGCAGAAAUGACAUGAAAACUGAAUGGCACACACAAAACCUUUGAGUAUGACUCGAUUUGUUUUUUCCACCCUAUUCUACUACAAACAUAAUUAUUCGACAUCUAAAAGACUCUUAGAGACAAUCUACUUAGAAUAUCAUCUAUGUCAAUGUGUCAAUAUUAGGCACAAAGUUCAAUGAGUGGCACGUGGAUGAGAAAAGUACCAUUGGCAUUAGCAUGGUGUAUUCAGUUCUACAAAACAUAUAAACACUAAAGUACAAAAUGUNNNNNNNNNNUUAAACCUCUCAGUAUUGUUAUCGCAGCCUGGUUAACAGACAGAGCAGUUCUGUCUCAGAACUACUCUCUCUGAUAAUCUACAUGGUCCGGUACAUUUGAGCAUCGGCAACGAGAAGAAAAAGACAUUGCUGGAUUCAAAGCAUGUUUACUGAAAGCAUUUGACAAUUCAUUCUAUUUUCUUUGUCUCUAUGAUAUUACUUACGGGUGUGUGCCAUAUGUGUCUCAGAAAAACUGGAAUACAUUGCUGAAUAUUCUGNNNNNNNNNNNNNNNNNNNNNNNNNNNNNNNNNNNNNNNNNNNNNNNNNNNNNNNNNNNNNNNNNNNNNNNNNNNNNNNNNNNNNNNNNNNNNNNNNNNNUCUCCUCCCUGGCCAAGAAGAGCAAUUUCCGUGCCUUGGGCAGGAGGCUCAAUCUGGUAUGUAGUCUUUUAAUUUAAUUAACAAAGCAAUUACCAUAUUAAAAACAUACCCAUGUAUUGAGUUACUUUAACUUCAUGAAAUUUCACUAAACAUUAUAGGGCGGAUUCGUGUACACAGAUUAAGCCUAAUCCUGGAUUCUCCAUGAAAUUUAGUUUUUAGUUCAGGACUAGGCUGGGAAAUGGACAGGAAACUGUGUUUUUAGUUCAGGACUAGGCUGGGAAAUGGCCAGGAAACUGUGUUUUUAGUUCAGCACUAGGCUGGGAAAUGGCCAGGAAACUGUGUUUUUAGUUCAGCACUAGGCUGGGAAAUGGCCAGGAAACUGUGUUUUUAGUUCAGGACUAGGCUGGGAAAUGGCCAGGAAACGUUGUUUUUAGUUCAGGACUAGGCUGGGAAAUGGCCAGGAAACUGUGUUUUUAGUUCAGGACUAGGCUGGGAAAUGGCCAGGAAACUGUGUUUUUAGUUCAGGACUAGGCUGGGAAAUGGCCAGGAAACUGUGUUUUUAGUUCAGGACUAGGCUGGGAAAUGGCCAUAAAACAGGGUCCCAAACGAUUUUGGCUGCGACUCGUUUUUGACAUAAAUAAAAAGUUGACCCCACCAUGUCAAAAAACUAAUGUUAUCAACGGCAAAUGUUUACAUUUUGGCUAUGACAGUCUAUUAUAAAUCAGUCUGACUGUACUUUUGUCAGUAUUUCAAUCUGAAGGAAAUCUGGUUUGAAGUGACUAAAAUGCACCAGGAAAGGUAUAAGUUCAGAAGAUCAUCAGACAAUAAUGUUGUCUGAUCUUCAGUUUGAUUUAGUGCCUGGUCUUGUCCAGUCUGAUUUAAUGAGUCCUGCGUGGCUUGUGGGCAUUGUGGAGGGAAACAGAAGAUACAUACGUGUUCCUGAGAGUCUAAUCUUACAGUAAUGGGGUCAUAAUAUUUUGUAUCUUGAACCAUUUAAAAGAUUGAGGCACAUUUGUAGGAAGAAAACAGAAACCUAUGUUUAUUACAACGGUAUCUAGUGGCUACCGGAGGUUUCUGACAAAACCCUGGUUCUAAGAACCAAGAGCGAUUUUCUUUAUAUAUAGUUUGGGAAACACUGCCCUAAAUUAACUCCAUAACCAAACAGUAUUGCAAUGAAACCGGAUGUCCUUACUAUAUCUAUAUCAAGGUGCCCAAGUCAGAUGAAGAGUAUGACCUCCGUGUCCCUCGAGACAUGGCCUAUAUCUUCAGUGGAGCCUACAUUCCUUUGAGCUGCAAACUCAUCGAACAGGUAGGUGGACUCCAAUAUGAAUGAACUCAUGGAUACUAAGACAGAAGUGUGGUUUCAAUUAGUGAUAUAAUAAAAAGUAUUCCUCUUGUGCUACGUCUGCAGGUAUUGGAGCGUGAUGGCUGGACAGGGCUCGAGGAAGUCACCCGCAUGCUCAACGGACAUGAAUUUGCAGUCACAGGUAAGACAAGUGGGCUUGACAUUCACACUGAAAUGUAUGUAAAAGGCACUUUUGAAUGGAAAGUCCAUUGAGGAAAGGGGAACACGCAGAGCAUUCCAGUUCUUUAUUUUCUCCCCCCCC